rnacentral:rRNA from 1 species
AUUGAACGCUAGCGGGAUGCUUUACACAUGCAAGUCGAGCGAGCGGCGGACGGGUGAGUAAUCUAUGGGGAUCUUCCCGAUAGAGGGGGAUAUCUACUGGAAACGGUAGCUAAUACCGCAUACUAUCGUAUGAACCCAUAUGGGAUUAGCUAGUAGGUGAGGUAACGGCUCACCUAGGCGACGAUCCCUAGCUGGGCUGAGAGGAUGAUCAGCCACACUGGGACUGAGACACGGCCCAGACUCCUACGGGAGGCAGCAGUGGGGAAUAUUGCACAAUGGGCGCAAGCCUGAUGCAGCCAUGCCGCGUGUAUGAUGAAGGCCUUCGGGUUGUAAAGUACUUUUGGCAGGGAAGCGGUAUCUGCAGAAUAAGCACCGGCUAACUACGUGCCAGCAGCCGCGGUAAUAC